AUGCAACAACUUAUACUAGUGGCUAUCUGUGGCAUCUUACCAAAAAACAUAAGGGUGACUAUAACCAGAUCGUGCUUAUUCUUCAAUGUUAUAUGUAGUAAAGUUAUAGAUACUGUAAAUUUAGAAGAAUUGGAACACCAAGCUACAAUUAUCUUGUGCCAGUUAGAGAUGUUCUUCCCUCCAUCAUUCUUUAACGUUAUGGUUCACUUAGUUAUUUAUAUAGUAAGAGAGAUUAGAAUUUGUGGUCCAGUAUAUUUGCGAUAG